rnacentral:rRNA from 1 species
CAACCACAGGGUUUGUCUCAGUACGGCGAGUGAGCGGCAAGAGCUCAAAUUUGAAAGCUGGCUCCUUCGGGGUCCGCAUUGUAAUUUGCAGAGGAUGCUUCGGGUGCGGCCCCUGUCUAAGUGCCCUGGAACGGGCCGUCAGAGAGGGUGAGAAUCCCGUCUGGGAUGGGGUGUCCGCGCCCGUGUGAAGCUCCUUCGACGAGUCGAGUUGUUUGGGAAUA